ACCCGGAGCUCCGCGGCCGCCCAGCGCCCGUCCCCGCGCCGCACUCCCCGGCACUCCCCGGCGCUCCCCGCGCCGCGCGCCCCGCACCGGCUGGAGGCCCCGGCCCCCCGGCGUUCCCUCUCCGCGCACCUCCCGGCCCGCGCUAGGUAGCAGGCAAGAGUGUGGUUAUCGUUGGACCAGGAUUCAGGAUCUGACUGAGUAGCUGACUCUUAAUCCAGUUUGUGUUGAUCACCAGGAGGAUCUGGACCUCAGUAUUACCACAUCUAGAGCUAUAAUCACAUCCCUGUUAAGCCUUCCUGAGAUCACACCAAAUGUCCUUGAUGGGAAUUGUAAACAACCCUUACUUCUGGUUUCUAAUGAUAUUCCAGGAAAGGAGCCUAACUAGAGUCAGUGAUAUGCCAACUCCACCUUUGCCUUCCACCAUGUUUGGAAGCUCCCUGAGGCCUCACCAGGAGCAGAUGCUCGUCCCAUGCUUCCUAUAAGCCUGCAGAACUGUGAGCCAUAAUAAACUGUGAAUUAUAAAUUGCCUUUAUAGCAAUGCAAAUGGACCAGUACAGAUGGGAUGCUGGGAAGACAGUUGUUUCCACCUUCAGUAAAGUCCGUGGAACACAGUUGUGACUAUAUUCUAGGCCAGCCAAGAUGCUUGUACUCAGAAAGGAGUGGUCUCAGGACCAUAAGAAAGUGAAAAAAUAAAAAUAAGAAAAUAAAGAAGGGAUUGUCAAUGAAUCAGAAUUCAUCAAGGUCAAAGUCUUAGGAAAUUCCUUCAUGAGGAAGUCUAGGGGGGCUAUGGAAAUGAAAUUUUUAAACAAAUAGGUAUGUGGUGCUGG
rnacentral:lncRNA from 1 species